rnacentral:rRNA from 1 species
GCGCACGCUGGCGGCAGGCCUAACACAUGCAAGUCGAGCGAACCUUUCGGGGUUAGUGGCGGACGGGUGAGUAACACGUGGGAACGUGCCUUUAGGUUCGGAAUAACUCAGGGAAACUUGUGCUAAUACCGAAUGUGCCCUUCGGGGGAAAGAUUUAUCGCCUUUAGAGCGGCCCGCGUCUGAUUAGCUAGUUGGUUGAGGUAAUGGCUCACCAAGGCGACGAUCAGUAGCUGGUCUGAGAGGAUGAUCAGCCACAUUGGGACUGAGACACGGCCCAAACUCCUACGGGAGGCAGCAGUGGGGAAUCUUGCGCAAUGGGCGAAAGCCUGACGCAGCCAUGCCGCGUGAAUGAUGAAGGUCUUAGGAUUGUAAAAUUCUUUCACCGGGGACGAUAAUGACGGUACCCGGAGAAGAAGCCCCGGCUAACUUCGUG